rnacentral:hammerhead_ribozyme from 1 species
AUUUAGUUGACGAGUUCAAAAUAGAACGAAAUGCGCUUCCUGGAU